rnacentral:rRNA from 1 species
GAUGAACGCCGGCGGCGUGCCUAAUACAUGCAAGUCGAGCGAACAGACGAGGAGCUUGCUCCUCUGACGUUAGCGGCGGACGGGUGAGUAACACGUGGAUAACCUACCUAUAAGACUGGGAUAACUUCGGGAAACCGGAGCUAAUACCGGAUAAUAUAUUGAACCGCAUGGUUCAAUAGUGAAAGACGGUUUUGCUGUCACUUAUAGAUGGAUCCGCGCCGCAUUAGCUAGUUGGUAAGGUAACGGCUUACCAAGGCAACGAUGCGUAGCCGACCUGAGAGGGUGAUCGGUCACACUGGAACUGAGACACGGUCCAGACUCCUACGGGAGGCAGCAGUAGGGAAUAUUCCGCAAUGGGCGAAAGCUUGACGGAGCAACGCCGCGUGAGUGAUGAAGGUCUUCGGAUCGUAAAACUCUGUUAUUAGGGAAGAACAAAUGUGUAAGUAACUAUGCACGUCUUGACGGUACCUAAUCAGAAAGCCACGGCUAACUACGUG